UACGAAGGGGCUAGCGUUGUUCGGAAUUACUGGGCGUAAAGGGCGCGCAGGCGGCCCUCCAAGUCAGGCGUGAAAGCCCCGGGCUCAACCCGGGAACAGCGCUUGAGACUGGGGGGCUUGAGUUCGGGAGAGGAGAGUGGAAUUCCCAGUGUAGAGGUGAAAUUCGUAGAUAUUGGGAAGAACACCGGUGGCGAAGGCGGCUCUCUGGACCGACACUGACGCUGAGGCGGCGAAAGCGUGGGGAGCAAACAGGG
rnacentral:rRNA from 1 species